ACGCGAAAGGGACCUUCGGGUUCCGAGUAGAGUGGCGCACGGGUGAGUAACACGUAGGUAAUCUGCCUCUGAGUGGGGAAUAACUUGGGGAAACCCAAGCUAAUACCGCAUAACAUCGAAAGAUCAAAGCUUUAUGUGCUUGGAGAGGAGCCUGCGGCGGAUUAGGUAGUUGGUAAGGUAAUGGCUUACCAAGCCUGCGAUCCGUAUCCGGUCUUAGAGGACGGUCGGACACACUGACACUGAAUAACGGGUCAGACUCCUACGGGAGGCAGCAGUGGGGAAUAUUGGACAAUGGGCGCAAGCCUGAUCCAGCCAUGCCGCGUGAGUGAUGAAGGCCUUAGGGUUGUAAAGCUCUUUCGGCGGGGACGAUAAUGACGGUACCCGCAGAAGAAGCCCCGGCUAACUUCGUGCCAGCAGCCGCGGUAAUACGAAGGGGGCUAGCGCUG
rnacentral:rRNA from 1 species